AAUCAUCUAUUGCCUGAGAGCACAGUGGGAGGGACAAUGAUCAGGAUAUAAAGCCAGGCAUUCCAGCCGGCAACGGCUACCCUCUUUGGCUCCCCUCCCUUUGUAUGGGAGCUGUGUUUUCACUCUAUUAAAUCUUGUAACUGCAUACUCUUCUGGUCCGUGUUUGUACCGUGUUUGUUACCGCUCAAGCUAAGCUUUCGCUCGUUGUCCACCACUGCUGUUUGCCGCAGUCGCAGACCCGCCGCUGACUUCCACCCCUCCGGAUCUGGCAGGGUGUCUGCUGUGCUCCUGAUCCAGCGAGGCGCCCACUGCUGCUCCCGAUCGGGCUGAAGGCUUGCCGUUGUUCCUGCACGGCAAGUGCCUGGGUUCGUCCUAAUUGAGAUGAACACUAGUCGCUGGGUUCUACGGUUCUCUUCCAUGACCCACGUCUUCCAAUAGAGCUAUAACAUUCACCGCAUGGCCCAAGAUUCCAUUCCUUGGAAUCCGUGGGGCCAAGAACCCCAGGGAGAUGGAAGGGAGUCAAGGAUGUUGCCAUGUAUGUGCCAUCUCUGCCCUAAGCCAAUAUCAUGAAGAAAUCAACAAGAGGUGGAAUAAACUGAGCAAUUCAUCACCAUAUUAAGCUGGAUAUUCCUGUUUAGUAAAUAUCUUUCCCUAGCUGGUAUCCUUGCAUCCUGUGAGGGGGAGGAGGUGCAGGCACUAAGCAGAUUCCUGGAAAUCAAUGGCCAGAGGCGAUGUUUUCAGAGAGGCCUUCAUCCUUCUCCUAACAUUGCUUUGGUCUCCAGGCCCAUGCACUGCUAAGAUCCCAAGAUUCAGACUGGGGGAUGGGAGUUGAGGAGAUGCCACCUUUAGGCUGAGCUGGGAGCUUCUGUCCACCUUUAUCAGACUUGAUCAGACUGUGCACCCUGGGGUAUCACCCUCUGCUUCAAUUAACACAAUGACUUCCCACCUUCGCAUCCUCCUCCUUCAAGGGGGACUUGGCUCGGUCAAUUAUUUCCUUCACCUUUUGCAUGUUCAGUGUUUUCCUUUCUUCCCGAGGCUUCCCCUCUGUGGACCAACAUGUUCCUCCAUGGCAAAAACAAAAACAACCAGCCCAAACCAGUUCUUUCUGCCCUCCUGCCCUCUGCAGGUCAGCGCUGCCUCCUCCCUCCCUUUCAUGGCAUUGAAUGGUGAGAGUGCAAUACCCUCAGUGGCGCCUAACAGUCAGCAGUGAGCGCUCAGGACCGUCACCCACCUCUGCGGCCGAUGACCCUCUCUUUGGCUCUGGCCCCAGCCGGCCUUGCGCUGUUCCUUCUCACGGUUUUUCCUGGCUCAUCUUCGUGCCCCCUCCCCUGAGGGUCCUGGAGGUCUGAGCCCUCUGGCCGCCUCUCCUCUCUCCUUGCACUCCUCCUCUCAUGGAGCGACCCCGUCUGUGCCACCUUCUCACCUUCCAUGUCACACACCUUCAGCCUUCACUGAGGAGAGAGCAGGGCUGCAGCAUCGUGUUCCAGUCUCAUCCCUCACGGAGCCGAGAACUAAAAAUUGAAACAGAGAAACCUCCUGACAAGGCCGCUGGCAAGUUCAAUGGGAACAACUCAGGUUUUCAGAAAGAAGUAUGAUCCCUGGAGCCAGCGGGUUCAAAAGAACGAAGAGAUUUAUCAAGAAUGAGACAUACCAGACCAGCUGCGUUGCUUUCCAUUGACAGGAAGCAAAUCAGCUGCUCAGGAAAAGGUCAAGCAUGGCACCUGGUCUCAGAGAGGUGUCCGUCAAAGGCUGUCAUAACAGCCCUAUGGACAAGAAGGAGACCUGGGCCAGGAUCUCCAUGAACUGUCCUAAAAUUUCCAAGAGAAGGAGACAUCCGUCAAGUAGAAGACAAAAAGGGAUGCUGACCAGGGAGGCCGGAUGCUGGAUGUGGUCUAGGAGGAAGCCUUGGAAUUUUCUCACUCUGGAUUGUGGAACCACAAAGUCAGCCUGGAGCUGCCUACAUCUGGACACCUAGGCUCCUGUCAGAGCCAGUUUAUUAUUUCCAGUCACUCAUUACUGGGAUUCUCCUCUCCCUGGGGCGUUAUGAAGGUAAGGAGAGGGUUCUUGGGCAGUCAGUUUCAGCAUUAACCGUUUUAUUCCCACAUUUGGCAAUAGGGCUUGCCGUCCAUUAUUUAUGGCCUCUGUCUUAAUCUGUUCUGUGUUGCUAUAACACGAUACCACAGACUGGGAAAUUUAUGAAGAAAAUCAAUUUAUUUCUCACAGUUCUGGAGUCUGGAAGUUCAAUAUCAAAGUGCCAGCAUCUGACAAGGGCCUUCUUGCUGAGACAUCCCAUGGCAGAAGCCAAAAGAGCAAGAGAGAGCGAGGGCAAGUGAGCAAAAGGAGGCCAAACUCACUUUUAAAACAGCCCACUCUAGAGAUAACUAACCCACUCCCUCAAAAAUGACAUUAAUCCAUCAGGAGAGCAGAACGCUUAUGACCUAAUCACCUUAUUAGGCCCCACCUCCUAACACUGUUGCAUUGGGGAUUAAGUUUCCAACACAUGAGUUUUGGAGAACACAUUCUCAAACCAUAGCAGCUUCCUUCCAAAACCUGUCUCAACUGCCCAAAGCCUUUUCCAGACUCUUCUUCUACUUGCAAACCCUCUAUUCAAACCAAAGAAACAAUUAAUAUAACCUUAAAUUUACAAAACCAUGUGGUUUGUUAAACAAUCACAU
rnacentral:lncRNA from 1 species